GCCGGGAUGGUGGAAUGGUAUACACGCAGGUCUUAAAAACCUGUGGGAGCGAUCCCUUGAGGGUUCGAGCCCCUCUCCCGGCA
rnacentral:tRNA from 4 species